UGGAAGAGUAUACUUCUUCCAGAACUAGCUACGGAAGCAUCGAAGCAUCACAUUACCUAAUCGUCAUGAAAACGAUCGGCGUUGCCCUGUUGGUGUUGGUGGCCCUAUUUGCCCUGAUGGAGGUCACUGGAGCGCUGCCAGCUCCCGAACCUAGCCGUCGCUUCUUCUUUGGAGGCAGUCCCUAUGGCUUCGGCGGUUACGGCUACAGACCCUUCGGAUACGGCUUCGGCUAUGGCGGAUAUGGAGGUGGCUUUGGAAGCUUUGGCAGUUACAGUAGCUUCGGAAGUUUCUACGGUUGAUAAUCUUCUUAUACAGCGUUCCUUCAGUUCAUUCUUAUAAUCAUUAGAGAAAUGAAUGUUUUUAAAAAACAGAGAUGGCAUAAAUUAUUGAGACUGAAAUAAAAAUCGACCUUUUCCCA